GGCAUGCCUAACACAUGCAAGUCGAACGAAGGCUUCGGCCUUAGUGGCGCACGGGUGAGUAACACGUGGGAACCUGCCUUAUGGUUCGGAAUAACGUCUGGAAACGGACGCUAACACCGGAUGNGCCUUCGGGGGAAAGUUUACGCCAUGAGAGGGGCCCGCGUCGGAUUAGGUAGUUGGUGAGGUAACGGCUCACCAAGCCGACGAUCCGUAGCUGGUCUGAGAGGAUGAUCAGCCACACUGGGACUGAGACACGGCCCAGACUCCUACGGGAGGCAGCAGUGGGGAAUAUUGGACAAUGGGCGCAAGCCUGAUCCANCAAUGCCGCGUGAGUGAUGAAGGCCUUAGGGUUGUAAAGCUCUUUNNCACGCGACGAUG
rnacentral:rRNA from 1 species